UACAGAGACCUCAAGCGUUAUCCGGAAUCAUUGGGCGUAAAGCGUACCGACAGGUGGUUUAGUGUGUCAGAAGUGAAAUCUUCAGGCUUAACCUGGAGAAUGUCUUUUGAAACUACUAGACUAGAGGGACAAAGAGGAAGCUGGAACGAACGGUGUAGUAGUGAAAUGCGUUGAUAUCGUUCGGAACACCAAUAGCGAAGGCAAG
rnacentral:rRNA from 1 species